rnacentral:rRNA from 1 species
GACGAACGCUGGCGGCGUGCCUAAUACAUGCAAGUCGAGCGGACUUUCAAGAAGCUUGCUUUUUGAAAGUUAGCGGCGGACGGGUGAGUAACACGUGGGCAACCUGCCUGUAAGACGGGGAUAACUCCGGGAAACCGGGGCUAAUACCGGAUAAUAUCUUUCUUCGCAUGAAGGAAGGUUGAAAGGCGGCGCAAGCUGCCGCUUGCAGAUGGGCCCGCGGCGCAUUAGCUAGUUGGUGAGGUAACGGCUCACCAAGGCGACGAUGCGUAGCCGAACUGGGAGGGUGAUCGGCCACACUGGGACUGAGACACGGCCCAGACUCCUACGGGAGGUAGCAGUAGGGAAUCGUCCGCAAUGGACGAAAGUCUGACGGAGCAACGCCGCGUGAGCGAAGAAGGUCUUCGGAUCGUAAAGCUCUGUUGUCAGGGAAGAACAAGUACCGUUCGAAUAGGGCGGUACCUUGACGGUACCUGACCAGAAAGCCACGGCUAACUACGUGCCAGCCGCCGCCGUAA